UACGUAGGGCGCAAGCGUUGUCCGGAAUCAUUGGGCGUAAAGAGCGUGUAGGCGGUCCGGUAAGUCCGCUGUGAAAGUCGGGGGCUCAACCCUCGAAUGCCGGUGGAUACUGUCGGGCUAGAGUGCGGAAGAGGCGAGUGGAAUUCCUGGUGUAGCGGUGAAAUGCGCAGAUAUCAGGAGGAACACCUAUUGCGAAGGCAGCUCGCUGGGACGUACCUGACACUGAUGCGCGACAGCAUGGGGAGCAAACAGG
rnacentral:rRNA from 1 species